GGGACAUCGCAGCGGGCAGCCUUGCCUUAGUCCAGCGCCCGCUGCACUUAAGAGGACAAGUGGCUCCUCCGAGCUUGUAAAUAACGUGGGGCCUUGGGAAUUGGUGGGACGCUCUGUUCUGCGUGGGAAAGCUGCCCGGCAUUGUGACCCCAUCGGAGACCAUUUGAGCACAGGGAUCUCCGUUCAGCAAGCCCAGGCUUAUGGGUUCCUCCAGCUUACAACCUCAAGGAGAAAGAGAUCCUUAUGCUGCUGGUAGCCAUAUCGAUUUUCUCUCCAGGCAUCUCUGAUUGGGUGUGUUGGGGUCAUGGGACCUUUCCUGGGCCCAUCACUACCUCUAGAAGCUAUACUCCCUAUGUGGCGGAUAUGGAGGCUUCUAUUUGGCAACCACAGAAUCAUGCCCAGUGGAAGCAGGGUGUCCUUGUUCUCACCGUGGCUGAUUCCAAGCUACCAACACGGUAUCACCAAAGGCGGAGCUGGGAAGAAAUGCACAGUGGCCCACUGUUGUCAUAGAGCAUUUUCGCUGUGUAGAUAAAAUAGAUGUAAAUCACCCCAAAAGCAUAGAUAACUAAUUGUCAACUGUAGUCAAAUAAUUAG